rnacentral:rRNA from 1 species
UACGGAGGGUGCAAACGUUGUCCGGAAUCACUGGGCGUAAAGCGCAUGUAGGUGGUUAUAUAAGUGAGCGAUUAAAGACCGACGCCUAACGUCGGAUCGGUUGCUCAUACUGUAUGACUAGAGAAUGGCAGGGGUAAGCGGAACUUUCGGUGUAGGAGUGAAAUCCGUAGAUAUCGAAAGGAACACCAAUGGCGAAGGCAGCUUACUGGGCCAUUUCUGACACUCAGAUGCGAAAGUGUGGGGAGCGAACGGG